ensembl:snRNA U6atac minor spliceosomal RNA
GUGUUGUAUGAAAGGAGACAAGGUUAGCACUCCCCAGACAAGGAAGGAAGAAGACCUCGGGCCUGACAACACACAUACUGUUAAGGCAUGGCCACCUACUUUGUGGCAUCUAACUAUUAUUUGUU